rnacentral:rRNA from 1 species
UACGUAGGGUGCAAGCGUUAAUCGGAAUUACUGGGCGUAAAGCGUGCGCAGGCGGUCUAUUAAGACAGGUGUGAAAUCCCCGGGCUUAACCUGGGAACUGCGCUUGUAACUGAUAGGCUUGAGUGUGGCAGAGGGGGUGGAAUUCCAGGUGUAGCAGUGAAAUGCGUAGAUAUCUGGAGGAACACCGAUGGCGAAGGCAGCCCCCUGGGCUAACACUGACGCUCAUGCACGAAAGCGUGGGGAGCAAACGAGGAUUAGAAGACCCCGAU